rnacentral:rRNA from 1 species
UACGAAGGGGGCUAGCGUUGCUCGGAAUCACUGGGCGUAAAGCGCACGUAGGCGGAUUGCUAAGUCAGGGGUGAAAUCCUGGAGCUCAACUCCAGAACUGCCUUUGAUACUGGCGAUCUUGAGUCCGGGAGAGGUGAGUGGAGCUGCGAGUGUAGAGGUGAAAUUCGUAGAUAUUCGCAAGAACACCAGUGGCGAAGGCGGCUCACUGGCCCGAUACUGACGCUGAGGCACGAAAGCGUGGGGAGCAAACAGG